AUUGAACGCUGGCGGCAGGCCUAACACAUGCAAGUCGAACGAGUGGCGGACGGGAGAGAAAGGUAUGGGAAACUGCCUGAGGGAGGGGGAUAACUACGGGAAACGGUAGCUAAUACCGCAUACCAUCAGAUGUGCCCAGAUGGGAUUAGCGAGUUGGUGGGGUAACGGCUCACCAAGGCGACGAUCCCUAGCUGGUCUGAGAGGCUGACCAGCCACACUGGGACUGAGACACGGUCCAGACUCCUACGGGAGGCAGCAGUGGGGAAUAUUGCACAAUGGGCGCAAGCCUGAUGCAGCCAUGCCGCGUGUAUGAAGAAGGCCUUCGGGUUGUAAAGUACUUUCAGCGGGGAGGCGUUACCCGCAGAAGAAGCACCGGCUAACUCCGUGCCAGCCGCCGCGGUAAUUC
rnacentral:rRNA from 1 species